AGAAUAGAAUAUAAUCACGUGCUAUCAGAAACCGCUGCACUUGACCCCAGGUUUAAGAAGUUAGCCUUCAGUGAUGCCAAAGCAAUUGAUGAGGCUCUUCAAAGAAUAACCUCAGUAGCAGGGAGGGUAAGCCCCCUCAGUCAGCUGGCUCAGGCACCAGGGCAACAGGAAGAAGAUGGAGCAGAUGGAGCAGAAGCACCAGCAGUAGUGCCACAAACGUCUGCUAUUUGGAUGCUGUUUGACGAGAGAGAAACUGGGGAUGCAGCACGAAGGAAUCCCUUAACAGAUGCCAUAAUGGAACCCCUCCUCCAAAGAGCUGCAGAUCCUCUGAGUUGGUGGAAGAACAAAGCCUCCGUCUACCCACGGCUUACUAAAGUCAUGACAGGGAAACUCUGAAUAGUGUCGACUCCAAACAAUUACUGAGAGAAGAAACCGCAUCAGCCCCUCGAAAGUGAUGCAGCUUGCAUUUCUGAAUGCAAAUUUCUCAUAAAAGCAAAAUAUGUAUGUGUGCUGCUGGUUAUAACAUGGCAAUUAAGAAUAGAGAGCAGUUCAAUGUUUUAAGUGUGAUGCUGCAGUUUUGCAAAUGGUUAUUUAUUUUUCUUUGAUAUGGUGCAAUAUUCUAUUAUUAUGUUGUUCAGAUUAUAUUAGUUUUGAAUUGUUACAUUUAUAUGCACUUUGUUUGUAUACAUAAAAAAAGUUAUACUUUAAAUUGACAUUUUUAAUAGCAUUCUUUUUCAUAACAAAACAAUGCAUUUUUAAAUACAUUGUGGUUAAGGUAGAGUACGAUUUCAUUUAAUAAUUUAAUUAGAAGUGUUUUAACACCAAUCAUAGUCAAACUAUCGCAAACUGUUUGACUUGAAAGAAUUCUAAACAGAUUUUUUUUAAAGAGCCGUUUGGGAGCCAAAAGAGCCGUGUUUGCAUCUUUUACUCUCGGUUUUGUACACCAGCUUCAAACAGUAGUGAUGGUAUGUUUGAUACCGAUGUGGUAUUCGGGUGCAGAGACGCAGAGUGAGGGACAGCAUGAUUCGUGUUAACCCGAGGGCGGCUGCCCUCAGAGCCAUGUCGCAGAGGCUACAUAGAAGGUCCUGUGUUCCUGGACCAAACUCGUUAUGGCACCUUGAUGGAAACCACAAACUGAUAAGGUGGAGGAUAGUCAUACAUGGUGGCAUUGAUGGGUUGCAGCCGCCGUGUUUCUCCAUACUUCCAGCAACAAUCGCAGCAGUACUGUAUUGGAUUGCUUCAUGAAUGCUGUCUCCAGAUAUGGCGUUCCCUCCAGAGUUAGGACGGACCAUGGAGGAGAAAACAACACUGUCUGCUUGUUGAAUACUACUUCUACAAACGAGGCUACACUUGUGGCAGCACCUAUUCCUGUGGCACCCCAUCUUCUGCACUUCUUGUGGCCCCCCUCCACCUAUACCACUUUCUGUGGCCCCUCCACCAUUCCCCGAGGCUUAUCGUCCACCUUCACCACACUCUUCUGUUGGUGUUGGUGAUGACAAUGAGGAUGCUGACGGAAAAGGGGCAGCUGAUGAGGGUGGUCUCUCAAGAGAAUUUCUCUGGCUGCUAAUGAGUGCCAUCCAUUCCUCUGCAAUAUUUGAGGGACCUGAUUGACAAAAAUGUCUUUCUUGCAACUCUCAAGCAACAUGGGGGUGUAGAGCCACAUUUUUUCGGAGAGGCUAUACAGGCAAGUGUGUGACCUACAACCUCCUGUGCCAGAACUGAAAGAAAUUGCAGAAUAUGACUUCAGACAGAAGUUGGAGAAGGGGUCUGAAUUCUUUCCGAAUGCACUGUAUCUGUGGUCCUAGCCACACCCCUAUCUAUCAUUAUUUUCUGCCUAACACCUAUUUUUGCACUUGCAUCUGCAAACUAUUUUUUCAGCCACCCACUAACCCCCACUUUUACCGUCACCCUAGGCUUUCAAAAACCACAAGCUCCUCCCCCCCACAUCCACAGGAUUUCCUGCCUCCUAACAGUCUGGCUGGGGUUGUUUUCAGUCAAUCUUGCACCCUUAAUAUACUUUUAGCUACAUAUCAUCACCAUUACUAGUUUGAAACAUUAACACUUAUUAUUCCCUUUACUAUUCUAAUUUCACUCAAUUCUAAUCUAACUCUAACCUAACUCUAUUACCGGAUCUUAAACAUCCAACAUCCCACCAUCCUCUUAUUUCUACAUUCUAACAUAUCACUAUCAACCUAAGACCUUAUCCUCCAAGCCUAAUAGACAUAGUCCAAAUAUACUGUACCUUAAAACCAACAUCUCAUCCUUAACCAUUUUACUAUAUUACUUAAGUCAACCUUUAACAUUCAACAUAUUUAACCUUUAAUUAUUAUUUUAAUAAAUUCCAGUCCCAAUGAA